rnacentral:rRNA from 1 species
GACGACGCAACGCCGCGUGGAGGAUGAAGGUCUUCGGAUUGUAAACUCCUGUUGCCCGGGACGAAUCGCUCCGACCUAACACGUCGGAGUCUGACGGUACCGGGUGAGGAAGCCCCGGCUAACUCUGUGCCAGCAGCCGCGGUAAUACAGAGGGGGCAAGCGUUGUUCGGAAUUACUGGGCGUAAAGGGCGCGUAGGCGGCCUGUUAAGUCGAACGUGAAAUCCCCGGGCUCAACCCGGGAACUGCGUCCGAGACUGGCAGGCUUGAAUUCGGGAGUGGGAUGCGGAAUUCCAGGUGUAGCGGUGAAAUGCGUAGAUAUCUGGAGGAACACCGGUGGCGAAGGCGGCAUCCUGGACCGAGAUUGACGCUGAUGCGCGAAAGCCAGGGGAGCAAACGGGAUUAGAUACCCCGGUAGUCCUGGCCCUAAACGAUGAAUGCUUGGUGUGGCGGGUAUCGAUCCCUGCCGUGCCGAAGCUAACGCAUUAAGCAUUCCGCCUGGGGAGUACGGUCGCAAGGCUG